CUAGGGGGUGUAGCAAUACAUCACCGGCGGACGGGUGCGUAACGCGUGGGAAUGUACCUAUUGGUUCGGAACAACUGCGGGAAACUGCAGCUAAUACCGAAUGUGCCCGAAAGGGGAAAGAUUUAUCGCCAAUGGAUCAGCCCGCGUCGAAUUAGCUUGUUGGUGAGGUAAUGGCUCACCAAGGCGACGAUUCGUAGCUGGUCUGAGAGGACGACCAGCAUCACUGGGACUGAGACACGGCCCAGACUCC
rnacentral:rRNA from 1 species